GGGUUGUGAGGUUAAGCGACUAAGCGUACACGGUGGAUGCCCUGGCAGUCAGAGGCGAUGAAGGGCGUGCUAAUCUGCGAUAAGCGCCGGUAAGGUGAUAUGAACCGUUAUAACCGGCGAUACCCGAAUGGGGAAACCCAGUGUGACUCGUCACACUAUCAUUAACUGAAUCCAUAGGUUAAUGAGGCGAACCGGGGGAACUGAAACAUCUAAGUACCCCGAGGAAAAGAAAUCAACCGAGAUUCCCCCAGUAGCGGCGAGCGAACGGGGAGGAGCCCAGAGCCUGAAUCAGCAUGUGUGUUAGUGGAAGCGUCUGGAAAGGCGCGCGAUACAGGGUGACAGCCCCGUACACAAAAGCGCAUGUGCUGUGAGCUCGAUGAGUAGGGCGGGACACGUGGUAUCCUGUCUGAAUAUGGGGGGACCAUCCUCCAAGGCUAAAUACUCCUGACUGACCGAUAGUGAACCAGUACCGUGAGGGAAAGGCGAAAAGAACCCCGGCGAGGGGAGUGAAAAAGAACCUGAAACCGUGUACGUACAAGCAGUGGGAGCACCCUUUUGGGUGUGACUGCGUACCUUUUGUAUAAUGGGUCAGCGACUUAUAUUCUGUAGCAAGGUUAACCGAAUAGGGGAGCCGCAGGGAAACCGAGUCUUAAUUGGGCGUUAAGUUGCAGGGUAUAGACCCGAAACCCGGUGAUCUAGCCAUGGGCAGGUUGAAGGUUGGGUAACACUAACUGGAGGACCGAACCGACUAAUGUUGAAAAAUUAGCGGAUGACCUGUGGCUGGGGGUGAAAGGCCAAUCAAACCGGGAGAUAGCUGGUUCUCCCCGAAAGCUAUUUAGGUAGCGCCUCGUGAAUUCAUCUCCGGGGGUAGAGCACUGUUUCGGCUAGGGGGCCAUCCCGGCUUACCAACCCGAUGCAAACUGCGAAUACCGGAGAAUGUUAUCACGGGAGACACACGGCGGGUGCUAACGUCCGUCGUGAAGAGGGAAACAACCCAGACCGCCAGCUAAGGUCCCAAAGUCAUGGUUAAGUGGGAAACGAUGUGGGAAGGCCCAGACAGCCAGGAUGUUGGCUUAGAAGCAGCCAUCAUUUAAAGAAAGCGUAAUAGCUCACUGGUCGAGUCGGCCUGCGCGGAAGAUGUAACGGGGCUAAACCAUGCACCGAAGCUGCGGCAGCGACACUGUGUGUUGUUGGGUAGGGGAGCGUUCUGUAAGCCUGCGAAGGUGGCCUGUGAGGGUUGCUGGAGGUAUCAGAAGUGCGAAUGCUGACAUAAGUAACGAUAAAGCGGGUGAAAAGCCCGCUCGCCGGAAGACCAAGGGUUCCUGUCCAACGUUAAUCGGGGCAGGGUGAGUCGACCCCUAAGGCGAGGCCGAAAGGCGUAGUCGAUGGGAAACGGGUUAAUAUUCCCGUACUUGGUGUUACUGCGAAGGGGGGACGGAGAAGGCUAUGUUGGCCGGGCGACGGUUGUCCCGGUUUAAGCGUGUAGGUGUGUGUUCCAGGUAAAUCCGGUUCACUUUAACACUGAGGCGUGAUGACGAGGCACUACGGUGCUGAAGCAACAAAUGCCCUGCUUCCAGGAAAAGCCUCUAAGCAUCAGGUAACAUCAAAUCGUACCCCAAACCGACACAGGUGGUCAGGUAGAGAAUACCAAGGCGCUUGAGAGAACUCGGGUGAAGGAACUAGGCAAAAUGGUGCCGUAACUUCGGGAGAAGGCACGCUGACACGUAGGUGAAGUGAUUUACUCAUGGAGCUGAAGUCAGUCGAAGAUACCAGCUGGCUGCAACUGUUUAUUAAAAACACAGCACUGUGCAAACACGAAAGUGGACGUAUACGGUGUGACGCCUGCCCGGUGCCGGAAGGUUAAUUGAUGGGG
rnacentral:rRNA from 1 species